UAUAGUUGAUUUUGCUGGGGCGGCAGAAUUGCAUAUAACCAAUUUUAAUUUACGUGAAGCGACGCAGAAAGAAAAAGUUACUCUAGGGAUAACAGCAUAAUUUUAAUAGUUUGUGACCUCGAUGUUGGACUAGGGAUGUUACCUUCUAGAAGGAGGUAAUUAUGGCUCUGUUCGAGCCCUUAGCCCCUACAU
rnacentral:rRNA from 1 species